UCAACCUUAUGAGUUAUUCUAAAGCAAAGUUCCUGUUAUUCCUGAGUCAGAUAUGAAGGGAGACUGAUGUUAGCGUCCCAGGCAACUUUGGAAUUUGGGAAAGAAUUCUGAAUUCAUUUCUUCUGAGGUCACAGCACUUUCCACUCCCCUACCCUGUUCAUGGGAGGCCUGUCCACUCCCUGUACAGUCAGUUUUCUAAGGGCAGGGUGUGGAGGUGAACUUCCUCCCAGGACUGGAGCUGGAUGAGCAGUGAGCAGCCAUGGGAAGCCCCAGGGUAACACAGAGAGAACACAUGAGACAAGGAGGAAAAAGGAGAAACAGGCCACGGUCAGGGGGACACAGCUACGGCUCAAAGGCGGCAAGUGGAGAAAAUGAGAAUGAGGGGCAUGAGGAGGAGGACGGCCCGUCUUUAUUUUGGUUGCAGAGUCACAGACACAUCGGAAGAAGGCUCUGACGUUCAAACCAGAAGAGGCAGGGCACUGGAGCUCCCAGAAGCCCACAGGGGCGCAGGAGGCACCACGUGAGAAGGACAGAGGACAGCAACCUGGCCGCCUCUCAGAGAGAGGUCAUGUCGUUGAGCGCGUGGUCCAGCUCCUCGCUGAUAGCUUUGUACUUGAGCUUCUGAGCGUAUAACUCAUCUAGAGGGUGGAGGUCCCCAGCGAGACAGUUCAGAAGAAGUAGGUAGGUACAGGGGACAGAAGGCAGGGAUCAGAAUGGAGUGCCACAGAUGAACCACAAGAGGAAGAAAAAAAACGUGAGCAAACAAAGCACAGAUGGGAGAAAGUUGUGUUCUGUGGGAACAGGUGAAGAAAACAAAAGAUCUACGGACUGAUUUCUAAGUGGGGUUUGGGGUUCUACAGGGGGAUUAGCCAGAAUGAAGCUUCAACUCAGUGGUGACCAGGAGUGACCAAGCUUCUCCCCACCAGCCCCCACCCCCAGUUUAUUUCUGAUUUCCAAUGACAUCACCCUGUCUAAAGAUCAUACUUUGGAAUGGGGCAUUUUCCCUUAUAUGGGAAUCUCACUUCCCCCAAAAAAAACAUGGGGACACGUGGUCUGAAGAAUGCGUCCUUUCUGUGUGGGAUGGGCAGUUUGGUGGAUUCCAUUUGAACCCCAAGAUUCUGAAAUUUCUGGGCUAUAUCAUGAAGAACAUGAGCCCAAAUGUUAAACGUCGGAACCCUUCAAGAAAUUCUGGGAGAUGUGGGCCCCAGACCUGCAAGACUAGAGUCUUUAUUGUGGUGCCUACAUUUCCCGUAGUUCUGUUUUUUCCCACUGUAAUAAGCUUUGAGCCCGCUGGGACAGAGCUUCUGCAAAAAUGCAAGGCAUGUAAAAAAAAAAAAAAGCCAGCCGUCUAUCAGAAAUGAGCAAACCAAAGGAAAUUGUAAAGACUUUUUUUUUUAGAUGGAGUCUCACUGUCGCCCAGGCUGGAGUGCAGUGGCAUGAUCUCGGAUCACUGCAACCUUCGCCUCCCAGGUUCAAGCGAUUCUCCUGCCUCAGCCUCCCGAGUAGCUGGGAUUACAAGCGGGCACCAUCACGCCCGGCUAAUUUUUUGUAUGUUUGGUAGACACAGGGUUUCAGCAUGUUGGCCAGGCUGGUCUCAAACUCCUGACCUCAAGUGAUCCACCAGUCUCAGCCUCUCGAAGUGCUGAGAUUACAGGCGUGAGUCACCACACCUGGCAUGACUUUUAUUUAUUUAUUUUUGAGACGGAGUUUCACUCUUGUUACCCAGGCUGGAGUGCAAUGGCGUGAUCUCGGCUCACCGCAACCUCCGCCUCCUGCGUUCAGGCAAUUCUCCUGCCUCAGCCUCCUGAGUAGCUGGGAUUACAGGUGUGCACCACCAUGCCCAGCUAAUUUUUUGUAUUUUUAGUAGAGACGGGGUUUCACCAUGUUGACCAGGAUGGUCUCGAUCUCUUGACCUCGUGAUCCACCCGCCUUGGCCUCCCAAAGUGCUGGGAUUACAGGCGUGAGCCACCACGCCCGGCAACGUUUUUUUUUUUUUAAACCAGAGAGAGCCAUAUCUGUUUCUCUGUACUUGCUCAUGGGACUAACUAAGCAAAGAUAUUUUACCUCCUGAAAGUAACAACUCAAGUCUGAAUUAUUUGCAUUAUCCUAUUCCAGUGUUCCAAGACAUCCAGAUAUGACAUCACUACACACUUUACUUUCCUAAGGCAAACAAGGCCCAACCCAGCUCCUCCACACAUAUCCCCCAGCUGUCCCUGGAUGUGUCCCAGAGGGGGAGGCAGGGCAGGGCACAUUAUUUAGAUGGUAACCUCAUACCUUCCAGGUCAUCAAUGGUCUUUUCCAGUUUUGCCACUGUUCUCUCUGCAAAUUCGGCACGGGUCUCAGCCUAGGUAAGAAGAAAGGAGUUCCCAUCAUGGCUUCAAGACCAGCCCCAGGAGAAGCCUAAGCUCGCUGGGUGGAAACACACUCACCUCUUUCAGUUUGUCAGACAGAAGUUUAAUUUCUUCUUCAUAUUUGUCUUCCUUUUCAGAAUACUAUGGGAAAAAGCAAAAUGCCGCAUUAAAAAAAGGAGGGCACGGCCGGGUGCAGUGGCUCACGUCUGGAAUCCCAGCACUUUGGGAAGCUGAGGUGGAUUGAUUACAAGGUCACGAGUUCGAGACCAGCUUGGCCAACAUGGUGAAACCCCAUCUCUACCAAAAAUACAAAAAAUUUGCCAAGCAUGGUGGUGGAUGCCUGUAAUCCCAGCUACUCGGGAGGCUAAGGCAUGAGAAUUGCUUAAACCUAGGAGGUAGAGAUUGCAGUGAGCCCAGAUCGCACCAAUGCACUCCAGCCUGGGCAACAGAGCAAGAUUCCAUCUCAAAAAACAAAAGAAGUAGGCAGAGGAGAGGCAGGCACCUUUCCCCAGCAAAAGAAAUAUGUGUGAAAUGCAGAGAAUAUGGGGGAAAGUCCUCUAGGAUGGUAUUGAUCAGAAGGCCUGAACUGGUAACUUGAGAUAGAAGUAUGCUGAAGAAAGGGAGGUAACUGGAAAUCUGUGCCACUUCAGUCCUCACCACCUUCCCCAGGGUGACAGGCACUCCCUGAUCAUAAUCUCUGGACUUCUGAGUCCCAGGCCCCGUCCAUGAAUGCGUCCCUUAGCAUGGAACGUCCCCCUCCUCAUGACGACUUAUCAGAAAUGAUACUUGUCUUUUUUUUAAUCAGACAGAGACUUGCUGUGUCGCCCAGGAUGGUGUGCAGUGGUACAAUCUCAGCUCACUGCGACUUGCAACUUUCGCCUCCCAGGCUCAAGCGAUUCCUCUGACUUACCUCCCAAGUAGCUGGGACUACAGGCGCCUACCACUAUGCUCUGCUAAUUUUUGUAUUUUUAGUAGAGACGGGGUUUCGCCAUGAUGGCCAGGCUGGUCUGGAAGUCCUGAACUCAGGUGGUCUGCCUGCCUCAGCCUCCCAAUAAUAACUAAUACUUAUGAUUUGCUGCUUGCCAUGGUCCAGACACAGUCAAUGGCAUCACAGCCAGGUACCUGUAAUCCCAUUUUAUAGGGAGGAAAGGGUCUCAGAAAGGUGAAGUUAUUUUGCUUAGGGUCACAUGGCUAUUACAUAAUCAAGUCAUGACUGAAGCCUGACUCUGGAAUGCAGUGGGGCAAUCUCGGCUCACUGCAACCUCCACCCUCCAAGUGAUCUUCUCAAGUAGCCUCCCAACGUCAGCCUCCCAAGUAGCUGGGAUCACAGGCGUAUGCCACCAUGCCCAGGUAAUUUUUUAAUUUUUAGUCGAGACGGGGUCUCGCCAUAUUGCCCAGGCUGGUCUGGAAAUUCUGAGCUCAAGCGAUUCUCCCAUCUUGGCUUCUUAAAGUGCUAAGAUUACAGGCACGAGCCACCACACUGGGCCUACAGCUCCUUUAAAUGUUGCCUCCUUGGUGACACCUUUCACAAUCUACCAAGGUCCCUCUAUUGUAUUCCCAAAGCACUCUGUGACUUUGUCAAUCUCUUCCACUAGACUGGACUCUGAGCUCUUCAAGAGCAGAUAGAUGCCAGGCCGGAGGCGGUGGCUCACGCCUGUAAUCCCAGCACUUUGGAGACCGAGGUGGAUGGAUCAUUUGUGGUCAGGAGUUUGAGAUCAGCCUGGGCAACAUGGUGAAACACCGUCUCUACUAAAAA